AGCGAACGCUGGCGGCAGGCCUAACACAUGCAAGUCGAACGGAUCCUUCGGGAUUAGUGGCGGACGGGUGAGUAACACGUGGGAACGUGCCCUUUGGUUCGGAACAACUCAGGGAAACUUGAGCUAAUACCGGAUGUGCCCUUCGGGGGAAAGAUUUAUCGCCAUUGGAGCGGCCCGCGUCUGCUUAGCUAGUUGGUGAGGUAACGGCCCACCAAGGCGACGAUCAGUAGCUGGUCUGAGAGGAUGAUCAGCCACACUGGGACUGAGACACGGCCCAGACUCCUACGGGAGGCAGCAGUGGGGAAUCUUGCGCAAUGGGCGAUAGCCUGACGCAGCCAUGCCGCGUGAAUGAUGAAGGUCUUAGGAUUGUAAAAUUCUUUCAGCGGGGACGAUAAUGACGGUACCCGCAGAAGAAGCUCCGGCUAACUUCGUG
rnacentral:rRNA from 1 species